rnacentral:rRNA from 1 species
AUUGAACGCUGGCGGCAGGCUUAACACAUGCAAGUCGAGCGGGGGAAGGUAGCUUGCUACCGGACCUAGCGGCGGACGGGUGAGUAAUGCUUAGGAAUCUGCCUAUUAGUGGGGGACAACAUCUCGAAAGGGAUGCUAAUACCGCAUACGUCCUACGGGAGAAAGCAGGGGAUCUUCGGACCUUGCGCUAAUAGAUGAGCCUAAGUCGGAUUAGCUAGUUGGUGGGGUAAAGGCCUACCAAGGCGACGAUCUGUAGCGGGUCUGAGAGGAUGAUCCGCCACACUGGGACUGAGACACGGCCCAGACUCCUACGGGAGGCAGCAGUGGGGAAUAUUGGACAAUGGGGGGAACCCUGAUCCAGCCAUGCCGCGUGUGUGAAGAAGGCCUUAUGGUUGUAAAGCACUUUAAGCGAGGAGGAGGCUACUUUAGUUAAUACCUAGAGAUAGUGGACGUUACUCGCAGAAUAAGCACCGGCUAACUCUGUGCCAGCAGCCGCAGUAA